rnacentral:rRNA from 1 species
CCCACGGGUGGCUGCAGUGGGGAAUAUUGGACAAUGGGCGAAAGCCUGAUCCAGCCAUGCCGCGUGUGUGAAGAAGGCCUUCGGGUUGUAAAGCACUUUCAGUGGGGAAGAAAGCCUUGGGGCUAAUACCCUCGAGGAAGGACAUCACCCACAGAAGAAGCACCGGCUAACUCCGUGCCAGCAGCCGCGGUAAUACGGAGGGUGCGAGCGUUAAUCGGAAUUACUGGGCGUAAAGCGCGCGUAGGCGGUCUGAUAAGCCGGUUGUGAAAGCCCCGGGCUCAACCUGGGAACGGCAUCCGGAACUGUCAGGCUAGAGUGCAGGAGAGGAAGGUAGAAUUCCCGGUGUAGCGGUGAAAUGCGUAGAGAUCGGGAGGAAUACCAGUGGCGAAGGCGGCCUUCUGGACUGACACUGACGCUGAGGUGCGAAAGCGUGGGUAGCAAACAGGAUUAGAUACCCGAGUAGUC